rnacentral:rRNA from 1 species
AGUCGAACGGCAGCGCGGGGCAACCUGGCGGCGAGUGGCGAACGGGUGAGUAAUAUAUCGGAACGUGCCCUGGAGUGGGGGAUAACGCAGCGAAAGUUGCGCUAAUACCGCAUACGAUCUAAGGAUGAAAGCAGGGGACCGCAAGGCCUUGUGCUCCUGGAGCGGCCGAUAUCUGAUUAGCUAGUUGGUGGGGUAAAGGCCUACCAAGGCAUCGAUCAGUAGCUGGUCUGAGAGGACGACCAGCCACACUGGAACUGAGACACGGUCCAGACUCCUACGGGAGGCAGCAGUGGGGAAUUUUGGACAAUGGGCGCAAGCCUGAUCCAGCAAUGCCGCGUGAGUGAAGAAGGCCUUCGGGUUGUAAAGCUCUUUUGUCAGGGAAGAAACGGUGAGUUCUAAUACAGUUCACUAAUGACGGUACCUGAAGAAUAAGCACCGGCUAACUACGUGCCAGCAGCCGCGGUAAUACGUAGGGUGCAAGCGUUAAUCGGAAUUACUGGGCGUAAAGCGUGCGCAGGCGGUUUUGUAAGUUUGUCGUGAAAUCCCCGGGCUCAACCUGGGAAUGGCGAUGAAGACUGCAAGGCUAGAAUCUGGCAGAGGGGGGUAGAAUUCCACGUGUAGCAGUGAAAUGCGUAGAGAUGUGGAGGAACACCGAUGGCGAAGGCAGCCCCCUGGGUCAAGAUUGACGCUCAUGCACGAAAGCGUGGGGAGCAAACAGGAUUAGAUACCCUGGUAGUCCACGCCCUAAACGAUGUCUACUAGUUGUCGGGUUUUAAUUAACUUGGUAACGCAGCUAACGCGUGAAGUAGACCGCCUGGGGAGUACGGUCGCAAGAUUAAAACUCAAAGGAAUUGACGGGGACCCGCACAAGCG